CUCCACUUUAAAUGUGCCUACGAGGGAUUUGUGCUAAUCUGUCACGCGAAAGAUAUUGGAGCGAGAUUAAUGUUGUUUCAAUUUUUUUUUUUUUUUCUCAUUCUUUUCACCGUUUUGUCAGCCCGACGACCCCGUUUGGCCGUCUCCUUCACUAUGACUUCUGAGGACUGGGUCGUCUGAUCGAUACGAGUUCCAGUUCGAAUUUUCCUCGCAGAGGGGGGACGCCAUGAUCACGCGUUCGAAUCUAGCGGAACAGCUCAGAGAAUAUCAGAAUCGGUCUAAGCACGACUGGGCUUCUGUUUCAUUUUUCACAUCUACUGCAAAUCCCAUUUCAAGGGCAGAUGGUGUGAUCUAUGUUGUAUGGGAACUCAUAAUUCUUGCUUUCCUGGUUUUUUCAGCAGUUUCUUUAUAUUUUAGGUACAUGCGACUGGCAUUUAUCUUAAUAUGUAUCACAAUGAUGUUGCUUGUGUGCAUGAAAAUUACAAAACAAGUAAGAUUGGCCCGGAGGAGGAAGGGAAGAAUGCUUCUUCCAUUAUCCAUGUAAAAUUAUAGGGAAGUUAGAGCCUUCUGAAAGCUAGUCCAAAUUUUCUGUAAAGAUUAUUUGAGAUGGUAACGUUACAGAUGACAUUCACCAAUUCAUGCUGUAAGAGUGUAUUGGCAAAACCAGCCUAUGCUUAUCAAUGUUGGAGGAAAGACUGGAAUAGUUCCAACAAUAGAGAGAACAAGGAGGAAGAGGGAACACCGGAGUAGGCAAUUUAGUACGACCGUCUGCAAGAACUCGUGUGUUUGAGAAAAAUCUCUGAUCUCCUGUUAACACCUUCAAUAGGGUGUGAGAAACAUCUCAGGGGUUAGAUUUGUGAUUCUCUUCCACACUACUGUCCAUGAGUCCUUUUUCAAUUGAGGUACUUUUGUCAUUGAACUGCAAAGCAUUGAAAGACUGGAGGAAUGGCCCUGGAUAAUAUUCUCUAUUGUUGGAUAUUUUAACGUUACAAGUUUCCUUGUUUUCUUCUGAUAUAUGCACCACGUCUCUGAACUUGGGAAGCCACUUUUUAGCUAGCUGAGUAGCUGGGCUGUGUCUAAAGGAGAAGAGAACUUGUGUGUGAUUCUGAAUCUCCUUUCUUGAUACAAAGGGUGUUAAGGUGUUUUGGGUCGAGCAGGUCUGAGUUGUGCGCUAGUCAGUGAAGCCAAGUUUCUGCAUCAUGAAGCCAUCAAGAGAUUAUUAUUAUUUGAAAAGGAUUGAUAUUAAGUUGCUCGGAAUAGAGAGAGAGAUCUCCACCAUUCUCAAAGGAUAUAAAAUUUCCUCAGGAAAAUCUAGAUUUUUGUCACGUAGCAUCAUUGUUUAAGCAUCUCAAGGAGAAGAUAAGAAGUGGAUCCCAAUGAAGAUUUCCACUGCUCGGAAAUCCGUUGUGUGGCUCUCCUUUUUCCUGAUAUCUUUUUUGCUUCUACCCUUGAUACUCGCAUAAAAAUGGAUCGGGGGGAUUUGAAUAUUCCUUGACUGGAUACAAUAUCUCUAAAUGAAUAUUGAUGCAAAUGGUAUCUGGAUUUUUGACUAUUUAUCUAGUCUGUGUAAUUCUAAUCAUUCUUCUUUUAGUGAAUAUAAUUUACUUUUAAUCCAUA